rnacentral:rRNA from 1 species
AUUGAACGCUGGCGGCAUGCUUUACACAUGCAAGUCGAACGGUAACAGGGUGCUUGCACCGCUGACGAGUGGCGAACGGGUGAGUAAUGCGUCGGAACGUGCCGAGUAGUGGGGGAUAACGCAGCGAAAGUUGUGCUAAUACCGCAUACGUACUGAGGUAGAAAGUGGGGGACCUUCGGGCCUCACGCUAUUCGAGCGGCCGACGUCUGAUUAGCUAGUAGGUGAGGUAAAGGCUCACCUAGGCGACGAUCAGUAGCGGGUCUGAGAGGAUGAUCCGCCACACUGGGACUGAGACACGGCCCAGACUCCGACGGGAGGCAGCAGUGGGGAAUUUUGGACAAUGGGCGAAAGGCUGAGCCAGCCAUGCCGCGUGUCUGAAGAAGGCCUUCGGGUUGUAAAGGACUUUUGUCAGGGAGGAAAUCCCUAGUGCUAAUAACACUGGGGGAUGACAGUACCUGAAGAAUAAGCACCGGCUAACUACGUGCCAGCAGCCGCCGUAAAAC